rnacentral:rRNA from 1 species
UUGAACGCUGGCGGCAUGCCUUACACAUGCAAGUCGAACGGCAGCGGACCUUCGGGUGCCGGCGAGUGGCGAACGGGUGAGUAAUAUAUCGGAACGUACCUUUCAGUGGGGGAUAACGUAGCGAAAGUUACGCUAAUACCGCAUAUUCUGUGAGCAGGAAAGCAGGGGAUCGCAAGACCUUGCGCUGAUUGAGCGGCCGAUAUCAGAUUAGCUAGUUGGUGAGGUAAAGGCUCACCAAGGCGACGAUCUGUAGCGGGUCUGAGAGGAUGAUCCGCCACACUGGAACUGAGACACGGUCCAGACUCCUACGGGAGGCAGCAGUGGGGAAUUUUGGACAAUGGGCGCAAGCCUGAUCCAGCCAUGCCGCGUGAGUGAAGAAGGCCUUCGGGUUGUAAAGCUCUUUCGGCCGGGAAGAAAUCGCACGGGUUAAUACCCUGUGUGGAUGACGGUACCGGAAUAAGAAGCACCGGCUAACUACGUG